rnacentral:rRNA from 1 species
AUUGAACGCUGGCGGCAGGCCUAACACAUGCAAGUCGGGCGAGCCGGGGACGGGAAAGUAAUGUAUGGGGAUCGGCCUGCUGGAGGGGGGUAAGUACUGGAAACGGUAGCUAAUUCCGUAUACCAUAGGAUGAGUCCAUAUGGGAUUAGCUAGUAGGUGAGGUAACGGCUUACCUAGGCGACGAUCCGUAGAUGGUCUGAGAGGAGGAACAGCCACACUGGGACUGAGACACGGCCCAGACGCCUACGGGAGGCAGCAGUGGGGAAUAUUGCACAAUGGGCGAAAGCCUGAUGCAGCCAUGCCGCGUGUAUGAAGAAGGCCUUCGGGUUGUAAAGUACUUUCAGUCGGGAGGCGUUACCGACAGAAGAAGCACCGGCUAACUCCGUGCCAGCAGCCGCGGUAAUUC